CAGACCAGAAUGCUGGGAGGAAGUGAGCCAGAGGCCAUGUCACUCCUCUCCAGGGCAGACGUGAUGAAGCAAGCCACCAGGUCAGACAUGCUGAAUCUUUCCCGGGGUAUGGAAAUGGAAGAACUGGGUCUAUCCCUCACCAAGUGCAGCACUCUGGAGAAUGGGCCCUGCAUGUCACCUGAUCAAGACAGUAAGGCUGAUCAUUUUUGUGUGAGUGUGUGUGAGCUGAACCUGAAUGUACCAGAGCAGAAGAAUUGGCCCUGACCUUUGCUGUCUGCUACAUUAGAACCUUCAUCUGGAGAUGGAUGGAGAUAGAGACAGAGACCCACACUGGAGCACUGGACUGAGCUCCCAAUGUCCCAAGGAGGAGCAGAAGGAGGGAACAAUUCUUUAUUUUGAAGAAACUGAUGCCACAAGACUCUUGUCCCCAUUUCUUGGAGUUUUCUCGUGAGCACUCAGAAUUCCCUUGCUCUCCUCUAUUCCUGUUUCAUGUUCCAACAUGAACUGACACCUAAAUCUGUCAAAUACUAUACAAUAGAAUGUUUUCCUUUCUUUGUUUGAUUUUACCUCUAAUUUCUAAAAUAAGAUUCCCACCUAAGUCUUUGAGAUUUGGUUUUUGUUUCUCUUCUAUGGCAAUCCUUCCUGGUAUACUCAAGUGAGAUAGCAGCAUCUACACCUCUAAUGACCCAAGAAAGUAUGUACUACCAUAUCACA